GAUGAACGCUAGCGGCAGGCCUAAUACAUGCAAGUCGGACGGGAUCAGGGAGCUUGCUCCCUGUGAGAGUGGCGCACGGGUGCGUAACACGUAUGUAACCUACCUUUAUCAGGGGGAUAGCCUCUCGAAAGAGAGAUUAACACCGCAUAACAUCACGAUGAAGCGUUUCAAUGUGAUCAAAUAUUUAUAGGAUAAAGAUGGGCAUGCGGGACAUUAGCUAGUUGGCGGGGUAACGGCCCACCAAGGCGACGAUGUCUAGGGGAUCUGAGAGGAUGACCCCCCACACUGGUACUGAGACACGGACCAGACUCCUACGGGAGGCAGCAGUAAGGAAUAUUGGUCAAUGGACGCAAGUCUGAACCAGCCAUGCCGCGUGCAGGAAGACGGCCCUACGGGUUGUAAACUGCUUCUGUACCGGAAUAAACCUUUUCACGUGUGAGAAGCUGAAUGUACGGUAAGAAUAAGGAUCGGCUAACUCCGUGCCAGCAGCCGCGGUAAGAC
rnacentral:rRNA from 1 species